UGUGAUUAUGACAUCACAGACAGUUCAGCUGCUUGCACUGGGGGAAAGGGAGAGUAUCAUGGUUACAGCUGGAUCACCUAAGGCAGAGAGGGAAGGAGCCAACAGGUAUAUGAAGAAGACUGUAUUUCCUCCUCAGGAAGAAAAAAUCACCUAUAAGGAUCAGACACAUGAAAAUAUGUCAUCUGCAGUGUAUGAAUAAGAAAAUGGCUCAAGAAAAACAUGCCAUUUUGCAGGACAAAUAGUUCAACAAACUCUCAACAAAGAACAGAAGGGAACUCCUUCAACUGAAAAAUAUCUAUAAAUAUCUACAACUAGUAUC
rnacentral:lncRNA from 1 species